GUGCCAGCAGCCGCGGUAAGACGUACCACCCGAACGUUAUUCGGAUUCACUGGGCUUACAGAGUCCGUAGGCGGUCAAGAAAGUUAGGCGUGAAAUCCCUCAGCUCAACUGAGGAAUAGCGCUUAAAACUACUUGGCUAGAGAGAGUCAGAGGUGAGCGGAACUGAUGGUGGAGCGGUGAAAUGCGUUGAUAUCAUCAGGAACACCGGUGGCGAAAGCGGCUCACUGGGGCUUUUCUGACGCUGAGGGACGAAAGCUAGGGGAGCGAACGGGAUUAGAUACCCUUGUAGUCC
rnacentral:rRNA from 1 species